GGUCCAAUGGUCUAGAGGUAUGAUUCACCCUUAGGGCGAAAGCAAUUUGGGUGAGGUCCCGCGUUCGAUUCGCGGUUGGACCC